ACUCCUACGGGAGGCAGCAGUGGGGAAUUGUUCGCAAUGGGCGCAAGCCUGACGACGCAACGCCGCGUGGAGGACGAAGAUCUUCGGGUCGUAAACUCCUGUCGAGUGGGAAGAAUGGAUCAGGGGCGAAUAAUCCCUGAUAUUGACGGUACCACUAAAGGAAGCCCCGGCUAACUCCGUGCCAGCAGCCGCGGUAAUACGGGGGGGGCAAGCGUUGUUCGGAAUUACUGGGCGUAAAGGGCUCGUAGGCGGCCAACUAAGUCGGACGUGAAAUCCCCAGGCUCAACCUGGGAACUGCGUCCGAUACUGGAUGGCUUGAAUUCGGGAGAGGGAUGCAGAAUUCCAGGUGUAGCGGUGAAAUGCGUAGAUAUCUGGAGGAAUACCGGUGGCGAAGGCGGCAUCCUGGACCGACAUUGACGCUGAUGAGCGAAAGCUAGGGGAGCAAACGGGAUUAGAUACCCCGGUAGUCCUAGCCCUAAACGAUGAAUGCUUGGUGUGGCGGGUAUCGAUCCCUGCCGUGCCGAAGCUAACGCAUUAAGCAUUCCGCCUGGGGAGUACGGUCGCAAGGCUGAAACUCAAUGGAAUUGACGGGGGCCCGCACAAGCGGUGGAGCAUGUGGUUCAAUUCGACGCAACGCGAAGAACCUUACCCAGGCUUGAACAGCGAGUGACAUCCGGCGAAAGCCGGCUUCCGCAAGGACACUCGUAGAGGUGCUGCAUGGCUGUCGUCAGCUCGUGUCGUGAGAUGUUGGGUUAAGUCCCGCAACGAGCGCAACCCUUGUCCUCUGUUGCCAUCAGGUUAAGCUGGGCACUCUGAGGAGACUGCCGGUGAUAAACCGGAGGAAGGUGGGGAUGACGUCAAGUCAGCAUGGCCUUUAUGUCUGGGGCCACACACGUGCUACAAUGGCAGAUACAAACCGUCGCGAUGCCGCAAGGUGGAGCUAAUCGGAGAAAGUCUGUCUCAGUUCGGAUUGCAGGCUGCAACUCGCCUGCAUGAAGUUGGAAUCGCUAGUAA
rnacentral:rRNA from 1 species